CCGAAACCGAACUCCUCCAGAACAUGAUCGGCGUCUCCGACAAAGUCCCGGUAGGCGAAGAACAGCAGUUCGAUGAUGUCCCAGCGCAAAGGGGUGGCCCCCGGCGUCGUGGGCCCGGUGGGCCGCCGUCAGUCGAAUGCGCUCCUGCCUUCAUAAAUUUUAUGUCAGCCAUAUUGACGUAUAUAGGUCUCAAUGUUACAAAAAUCGCAAGGACGACGAAAUAUUAGUUCGUU
rnacentral:misc_RNA from 1 species